GGCUCGAUAACUUAGAAGUUAGAGCUCUGGUCUUGUAAACCAGGGGUCGCGAGUUCAAUUGUAGCUGGGGCCU
rnacentral:tRNA from 1 species